rnacentral:rRNA from 1 species
GACGAACGCUGGCGGCGUGCUUAACACAUGCAAGUCGAGCGGUAAGGCCCUUUCGGGGGUACACGAGCGGCGAACGGGUGAGUAACACGUGGGUGACCUGCCCUUAGCUCUGGGAUAAGCCUGGGAAACUGGGUCUAAUACCGGAUAUGACUCCAUGACGCAUGUUGUGGGGUGGAAAGCCUUGUGCGGCUAGGGAUGGGCCCGCGGCCUAUCAGCUUGUUGGUGGGGUGAUGGGCCACCAAGGCGACGACGGGUAGCCGGCCUGAGAGGGCGACCGGCCACACUGGGACUGAGACACGGCCCAGACUCCUACGGGAGGCAGCAGUGGGGAAUCUUGCGCAAUGGGCGAAAGCCUGACGCAGCGACGCCGCGUGGGGAUGACGGCCU